rnacentral:tRNA from 1 species
UCUGGUUUAACAUAUAUUAAUGUGAAAGAUUGUAAAUCUUUUUAAAGCAAUGUAGCUU